GACGAAGGAUGCAAGCGUUAUCCGGAUUCAUUGGGUUUAAAGGGAGCGUAGGUGGCCUUAUAAGUCAGUGGUGAAAUCUCUCAGCUUAACUGAGAAAUUGCCAUUGAUACUGUAGGGCUUGAGUACAGAUGCCGUUGGCGGAAUAUGACAUGUAGUGGUGAAAUACAUAGAGAUGUCAUAGAACACCGAAUGCGAAGGCAGCUGACGAAACUGUAACUGACACUGAGGCUCGAAAGUGCGGGGAUCAAACAGG
rnacentral:rRNA from 1 species